rfam:Ornithorhynchus anatinus chromosome 7, whole genome shotgun sequence.
AGCAAUGUGGCUCAGUGGAAAGAGCCCGGGCUUGGGAGUCAGAAUUCAGGGGUUCGAAUUCCGUCUCUGCUA